CAGGAUGAACGCUGGCGGUCUGCUUAACACAUGCAAGUCGAACGGGCUCUUCGGAGCUAGUGGCGGACGGGUGAGUAACGCGUGAGGAUCUGCCUUCAGGAGGGGGAUAACGACUGGAAACGGUCGCUAAUACCGCAUAUGCCUACGGGUGAAAGAUUUAUCGCCUGGAGAUGAACUCGCGUCAGAUUAGCUAGUUGGUGGGGUAAGAGCCUACCAAGGCGACGAUCUGUAGCUGGUCUGAGAGGAUGAUCAGCCACACUGGGACUGAGACACGGACCAGACUCCUACGGGAGGCAGCAGUGGGGAAUUUUCCGCAAUGGGCGCAAGCCUGACGGAGCAAGACCGCGUGCGGGAUGACGGCCUAAUGGUUGUAAACCGCUUUUCUCUGGGAAGAUGAUGACGGUACCAGAGGAAUCAGCCUCGGGUAACUCCGUGCCAGCAGCCGCGGUAAUACGGAGGAGGCAAGCGUUAUCCGGAAUUAUUGGGCGUAAAGCGUCCGUAGGUGGUUAUUCAAGUCUGCUGUCAAAGCGUGGGGCUUAACUCCAUAGAGGCAGUGGAAACUGGAUGACUUGAGUGCGGUAGGGGUCGAGGGAAUUCCCAGUGUAGAGGAGAAAUGCGUAGAUAUUGGGAAGAACACCAGUGGCGAAAGCGCUCGAGUGGGCCUGCACUGACACUGAGGGACGAGAGCUAGGGGAGCGAAAGGGAUU
rnacentral:rRNA from 1 species